UUUUAUAUAGUUUACAAAAAAAACAUUACAUUUUCAAUGUAAAAAAAAUAAACAAAUUUUAUUUAUAAAUA
rnacentral:tRNA from 1 species